ACAACGGCCCUCUUUAGGGCCACAUGUGUGUGUUAAUACAUCCUAU
rfam:Heterorhabditis bacteriophora unplaced genomic scaffold Scaffold609, whole genome shotgun sequence.